AGCAGCCCUUGGGAUAACGCUGCUCUGUCCCUGGACGUCUGUCCCAAGCCAGGACAGCAUCCCGUGGCCCGGAGGCUCGGCAACCUCGGGUGGGAUUUACAGCAGCCGGAACUGUCUGGAGAAGGGAUUUCAGAGGGACCGGCCCAGCUCUGAGAGGGAAAAAGGAGAAAUCGUGGGAGGAAUGGCUGUGAGCGAGCUGGGAUAUGGGUGAGCCCAUUCCAGGAGCCCUCAGCAGGAUAAUCCCGAUGGGCUCCUCUGCAAUUCCCAUCCCUCCAUCCCAUGGAGAAGCUGAGCUGCCACUCCUGGAGGUGGCAGGUGGCACUUGGGGACUCUGCCUCUUCCUCCAGCACUGCAGUGAUGCCACAGCCUCGGGACGCGCCAGCAUUUCCCAAUUCUGUGAUUUUUGGACUUUUCCGUAUUUCAGAGGAGCCCAUGACUUGCUGUACAAGUCACCCUUGCUCCUCUCACGAGUAGGGAAGAAUGUUUCCCCUUUUUUGAGCAGGUCAUUGCUCUCCUCCCCUUCUCCCUGAGGGACUGCAGCCAUCCCGUGGCGUGGAGAGAAAGUUGUUCUGAGGGAAUGAAUGUGAGCUGGAUCCUCCUGCUGGGAGGGCUUGGCUGCUCUCAACCUCUGUGAGGUUGUCCCUGUACCUCUGCUGGGAAUGCUGUAACCCUGGGAUGGUCAGAAUUCCCAGUUUUCCUCUCUCAUUUUCCUCCCAGGGCAUCCACGCCUGGAAUGUGUCUCACGGGACACAUUGGGGAAUCUGGCCUUCCCAUGGCGC